CAAUACGUCAGUGGCGGACGGGUGAGUAACACGUGGGAAUAUGCCUUUCGGUUCGGAACAACUCGGGGAAACCCGUGCUAAUUCCGGAUACGCCCUUACGGGGAAAGAUUUAUCGCCGAAAGAUUGGCCCGCGUCUGAUUAGCUAGUUGGUGAGGUAACGGCUCACCAAGGCGACGAUCAGUAGCUGGUCUGAGAGGAUGAUCAGCCACACUGGGACUGAGACACGGCCCAG
rnacentral:rRNA from 1 species